rnacentral:lncRNA from 1 species
AUGGAGAAGGAGAGAGAAGAUACCCUUUACCAAAAGGAGUCACUGAGGCCUUAUGGAGAAGAAGGAGAGAGAAGAUACCUUUUACCAAAAGGAGUCGGACCAGCAGCUGUACACUUACAGUAUUGUUCGGAUUUUCUUAGAGGACCUAAGGCAGGUGGCAUCAAGCCAGCCCUCCCCCGCCUCCCUCUAGAGCCCCCUGGGAGCCGAGUGCGGGGCGCAGGCUUGAUGGCCCGGCCCGCGGAGGACAGGGCACCUCGCUGCCCAGAUGGCACCGCCGCCUGCCUUCCUGCCAAGGACGGGACAAGCCGCAAAUUUCCCGCCGACCAUGUGUGAUCUCUGUGGUCUUCCUCCCAAGCUCUUCCUCCAGCCACCCUUGACUGCAAAGGCGGCUCUACUCCUGGCUCUCCAGCACCAAGCGGCUUCAAGAAAGAGAAAAUAAGGACACUAGGCCUCUGGGCCGUGGAGUGGCCCCAUCAGGAAGCUGACGGGGAGUAAAAUGCCACCUACACGGGGCCUCUGUGUGGCCUUGAGUGAGUGUGUCCCAACGAGCUUCGGAGUUUUCACCUGGGCCACAUAGGUGCCGUGGGACAGAGCGUCCCAGGUUUCUCCGGGUGCCAAGGAACCGAGGGCCCGGGCCUGCCUUUGAGAGCUGGUACAAAGCCGUCCUCCUCCUCCUCCUCCAGGGCUGCGAGGUGGCAGGUCUUCCUCCCUCUCCUGGCACCAGGGCACCAGGCUGCAGGGACAGCGCUGGGGCCUGAGUGACAAGGAAACGAGCUGGAAAAGGCUGUUUGCAGGGAGGAGGAGCAGCCCAGAACCACCAACGCCCUGCGUGCAGGGCCCAACCCGCGCAGGGUCCCAGGGGACCUGGACCCGGACAGGGCGGCCCUGCAGAGAUGCCGAGCAUUCCUUCCAAAGGGGGGCGAGCCCAGGAAUCUGUGUUUUCCUACCGAGGCUGACCUCAGGCUCCGUCAGCCUCUGAGUCUCCACAGCUGCAUCCCUGGGCUCUAUCAGCCACCAGUCUCCAAGCCACGGAUUGAAGCGCUUUUCAACCAGGAGAUAAGGACAUUGGUUUGGCGACACACAAUAGUCUAGUCUUGUCUUUUCAAGGAAGCUGUGAUUUUUCAAGACACCAGAUUUCUAACUGUACCAACCACUUAACAUCACACACACAUGAAGUGAUGGGCAGGAGUUAAACACAUUGAUCUUCUGAACCUAUUUCCUUCCGUCUUUGCACCAUUGUUCCCUUUGUGCCCAACCUUCACGUCAUGAAGGCCACGCAGUCUCUCAAAUCCCGAGGCUACGUAAAGGAACAGUUACCCUGGAGACAUUUCUACUGGUACCUUACCAACGUGGGUAUCCAGUAUCUCCGUGAUUACCUCCACCAACCCCCCGAGAUUGUGCCUGCCACUCUGGGCCGCAGCUGACCUGAGACCGGCAGGCCACGGCCCAAAGGUCUGGAGGGAGAGCGACCUGCAAGACUCACACAAGGGGAAGCUGACAAAGACACCUACAGACGAAGCGCUGGACCCCCUGGCGCCGACAAGAAAGCUGAGGCCGGGGCUGGGCCAGCAACCGAGUUCCAGCUUAGAGGCGGAUUUGGUCGUGGACAUGGUCAGCCACCUCAGUAAAAUUGGAGAUUGUUUUGUGUUGAAUAAAUCGAUAGCCAGAAAAACAUUAAAAAAAAAAUAUAUAUAUAUAUUAGGCCAAAUUAGGUGGGUCAGUCUGGUCUGUGUUGCUUGGCAGAGGUUCAAAUCUCCUCCACCUCGGCCUUCAGAAAGUCGGAAGAAGCCAAGAUGAAUCUCAAUCUCCGUUUCAACUGUAAGUAACAAGAAAGAAAGAAAAAAGAAAGAAAGAAAGAAAGAAAGAAAGAAAGAAAGAAAGAAAGAAAGAAAGAAAGAAAGAAAGAAAGGAAGAAAAAGAAAGAAGAAAGAAAAAGAAGAAUGAGGAAAUGAAAUCAAACUUUAAAAUUUUUCUCCAGGACAAAAAAAAAAAAGAGGGUGUGUUUGUAUUCUCUCUUUUUCCUGCCUGUCCCAUUGUAUAUGAUUUCACAUCCCAAGAAUUUCUGUUACAAGUCAGACCCAGCUCUGCCUUUGAAAGAGGCAGCCAAGUGCAGUUAUGGGAACGAAGGGUAUCUCGUCUACGAGGCCAGCAUUGAGGGAUAAGCUGCGGCUCUUAAACGUUGGGGAACAGGAGUGACAAGAGCUUCCUGAAACUGUGAAGUCCUGGCCCAAGGGAUGCAGCUCAGUCACACCGUCAGGGGACUCUGGAGCAAGUGAGUUGGGGAGGGGCAGUCGCUGAGAAACACUGCAAAUUAGAGCAAAACACCUCUGGCUCUGGCAGCCUGUAGGCCUCGGGGAGGACCAGAAGCUUAGGGGGUGAAGAAGUUGAAGUCGUAAGUAUGGACAUCCUUUUAAAAAUGGUUAGAAAGGGAAAGGAAGAAAUUGAACAAUAGCUGGUGGUAGGUGUCAGGAGGAAGGAAGAUACCGUGUACCUUUUUUUUUUUUUUUAAAGAAUGGAAAGAUUUAGGGCGCCUGGGUGGCUCAGUGGUUGAGCGUCUGCCUUUGGUUCAGGGCAUGAUCCCGGGGUCCUGGGAUCAAGUCCCACAUCAGGGUCCCCGUGGGAGCCGGCUUCUCCCUCUGCCUGUGUCUCUGCCUCUCUAUGUCCCUCAUGAAUAAAUAAAUAAAAUCUUAAAAAAAAAAAAAAAAAGAAUGGCAAGAUUUAAAUGUAUUUAUGUGCUUAAAUGAAAGGACUGAUAGAGAGGUUGGAGAUUACAGGAGAACAGAAGAUGACCGGAGUCUAGGCCCCAGGAGGUAAGAGCACUGAGGAUCCAGCUCAUCGCCAGUGCGAGACCAACCAGCUUUGCAGAGGAAUAGGGAACUGUAUCCUCGGAGUCAGGAGGCAACCUGAGGAACCUUCUGGGAUAAGAGUAAAUGGACGGAGUCCUAAAGUUCCUAUACAAGUGUUGCUUGGUCGUUUGAACUUAUUUGAAGUGUUGAAAUAGGGAAUAGGACUUAGAGAAGAAAAAAAAAAUGCAUACCCAGGAAAGCUCUAGUUGUCGGAGCCCAACCAGCGGUUCCCAGAUGUUCAGGAGAAAUGGCUCUAUCUUCUCACCAAAAAAGGGCUGAUUGGAGUCCUAGCCUCUCCUCGUGGCUGCUAACUGACCCUCUUGUUAAAAACAUCCUGCACGGAUGACUUAUUUGAGGCCAGUGACCCGGUGGUUCUCCAGUGUUUCUCACGUCUGUUUUGCAUUAUAUGCGAGUCGUGCACGUAUAGCAAGAGCGAGCAGCAGGAAAGGGGGGGUGGGGGGGAAGUCCCUCGCAGUCACGCAAAGAUGUGUCUUUUAAGACCUGGUUGCCGCCCUAGCUCCCCCCAGGAUGCCCCGACAGCCCUGGCCUCCCGGCAUUCAGGGCCGCGUGUCAUCCCCUCACACACGGACUCGAGGCCGGCCCUGCGUGCCGCGGCCAGGGCAAAGGUGCAGCUUGGGGGCCGAGGCCAUAGAAGGCCGCGGAGCUUCCCCGGUGACCGGUGGGUGUCGGUAGCAGCAUCUUCACAUUUGGGGCCAGAGAAUUCUUUGCCUUGGGAGGCCGUUUUGGGUGCUGUAAGGGGUCUGAAGCACCCGGGUCUCUACCCGUUAGGGGCUCAGCUGUAAGAGACCAAUGUCCCCAGACCCUGCUGAAGGACCUCGGGGUGCGGGGUAAAGCUGUCCCCAGCUGCUGGCUCGGGGGAAAGCAGCUCCCAAACAUCGUGACACGGCUCAGGGAGGAACUGAGUGCCCCCCAGCCAAGGACGGACCCCAGGGGCCAUCACUGUAGGAAAGCCACCCGAGAGUGGGUCCAGCCCCAGACACCCGGGCUCCAGCCAAAACUGGUGGCGAACACGCGGGAGCCAGGGAGACCCCGACGGAUGGCCCCCAAAUUCUUGACCCACGGAAACCAGGGGAGAUCAUCAUGAUUGUGUUUUAAAAGCCACCCAGUUUGGGGGAGACUCGCUCAGUAGGUGCCUCGUUAGGCAUCACCCUUGAUGUUUGAAUCCCGGGGCCACACACAGGAGAUGUGCACUGUCUCCAAAAUCCUUUUUCUUUCUGGAGAGCGUUUCCCUCAGGUCCAGGUGGAGAAUGGUGAUCGGCACCACUGUCUGCUCCGCACACAGAAUUAUCCUGUGAACCUGAAUUAUUCACAGCAUUUCAGUUGGCGGGGAGAAGCAUAAACGCUAGCCCUAAGGAGUGUGGCGGGAGGGGAUGCUGGCUCCCAAGUCUUAGCUAUCGCAUCCCAAUUGUGAACUACGUUCCUGUCCCCAAAGCAAUGACAUACUUGCAGGAACCCCGGCCCUGUCUGGCCGGGUGUGUUAGACAAAGGGGGCCUCCGUUGGGCUCAGGCCAGGUCACCGCGGGAGGCAGGGGGCGAGGGACCUGGGGCGUUGUGCUGAUUCAGGCUGAUUAUCCAGGGGCCUGCCCACCUCCGUGGCCUGAAGGACAAUGACAAUAUCAUCUGCUGCCUAAAAAACCAAAUCGGGGGGCAGCCCGGGUGGCCCAGUGGUUUAACGCCGCCUUCGGCCCAGGGCCUGAUCCUGGAGACCCGGGAUCGAGUCCCAUGUCGGGCUCCCUGCAUGGAGCCUGCUUCUCCCUCUGCGUGUGUCUCUAUGAAUAAAUAAAUAAAACUUUAAAAAAAAUCGAUAU